AAUCAAAAUGACAGUUUAACAAAAGACAAUAGAACAAAGUAAAAUGACACUAGAUUUAGUCGUCCAAUGUCACAUCUGUAUGACACAUCCACUCAACGGCCGUAACUCAAAUUCUCAAUGUCGAGGUAUCUAAAAUAACUUAUCUUUGACAGUUCAGUGAAUGUAAUCAUUUGGAAGUCCGCCAAGACUAUGGGAUACCUAGCAGGACAAGGAUCAGAUGCUAACUCUGCUGCCGACGCCACAGAUGGAGAACUGUAUGUCAAAAAAUUGCAUAACAAAGAAAAUCAUCAUGUCUGCGGUUUUACUGAUUCUGUUUAAAAUCAAUUUAAUAUUUGCUGAACAAGUGCCGUGGGACAGGUGGAUGUUAGAUAAAGUAGCCCCGGCACCAGGAAUAUCGAGACGAUACAUGAUCGGGAAAGUCGAAAAUAUACCCUAUGAAGCUCCUAAUUUUAAUUGUGAAUGUCCUCCAAACAAAGAAUGCAAGUUAGAUUUCAAAAUGGAUGAUGAAGCACUAGAUUUCCUAAAACUCCAUGGCCUUGUGAAAAAGCACGAAGAAGCACAACUCAAACAACACAUGUCAGCUGGAAAAAAGAAAACUGUUCGUAAAUACAUUUAUAGCAGAAGAGCUAAUGGUGGUGUACCGCAAGAGCAAUGCUGCUGCCCGCCAAUAAGUCGUGCAGUGUGAUAACGAUUUCCUACCUUUCCUUUAACAAUAUUUUGUAAAGUUAAACAUUUCGUUAGUUUUACACCUUCGCCUCGAGCCAUUGCAUCUUAUUGACAUUUGCUAUUAGCAUCUGUAGGUAAAUGGACUAAGUUUAAAUCAGUUGGCUUAUCAAAACUUAACAACUAAAACUUUUUAUACGAUCGGUUGCAAAACUCUGCAAUAGCAGAUUUGCUAUUUGCUAAUGCUAUUUGGCAUUGGUAAGGUAUUCCCAAAUACAUUAAAUCGUGUAUUUUUUUCAUUUGCGUUAAAAAUGCAAUUAUAUCAGAUAUUUUUGUAUACAAGUCAUAUUUACUUGUCAUUAUAUGUUAAGGCAAACCCGACACCUUCCGUUAAAACAAUCACGGAUGGAGAACUGUACAUUAAGAAAAUAAUAGAUGGGGGAAGAGCUAAACGCCACUUCGAAUUGGACGAAAAUGCUUUGUUAUUGACGAAAAUAAGAAAUUCGUUAGCGCAAGAAGAAGUAUUACGGAAAACGUAUUAUAGUAUUACUAAAAUUAAUACUAAAUACGCACCUCAUAUGUACUCAAAGAGAAUCAAAAGAUCUACUGAUAGAAGCAUCUGUCCAAAAAAAAAUCUUGUGCAACCUGCUUUCAUUAGCAACAAACGAUUCAAAGAAAUGAUUGAAUAUUUUAAGCAAGUAGCAAGCAAUCGUAAUAAUACAAGUCCAUGAUGGAAGCAAUAAACAGUAGGU